UGGAGAGAGUAUUGCUUCGGGGUCAAAGAUCAGGGAGAGGAUCUAGGUGGACUUGUCCGAUUUAAAAGCUUGGAACAGCAUAUUCUGCAUUUAUGCAAACUAAUGCUGCCAGACCUGCCAAGCUUUUCCAGCAAAUUUGUUUUUGUUUUUGAUUUACAGCAUCCACAGUUCUUUCAGUUUUUACAAUAAGACAGCUUAACUAUCCGCCAUUGCAUCUAUAACAUUCACUCCCUCCACAAUUGGCACAUCAUAGUAGGAGUUCUUAACCAUCUAUAAGAUGCACUGCAGAAAUUCACCAAGGCUGCUUACAGAACAUCUUUCAAAUAUCCUUCACUGUCACUUGGUCAAGGCCCUGGAACUCCCUAACAGCACGGUGUGUGGACCUACACAAAAUAGGCUGU